rnacentral:lncRNA from 10 species
CACAGGUGUUUAUAACUAAUUGAUCACAGCCAGUUAUAGAUUUCUUUGUUCCCCCUCCACUCCUACUGCUUCACUCGACUAGCCUAAAAAAAGAAAAAAGGAAAGAAAAAAAAAAGUGGCAGACUGGGAAUGAUUUGAACUCAGGCAUUCUGACCUUGAGCUCACAAUCUUUUUUUUUUUUUUUAACUAGUUGGUUCAGCCAGGGAGUCGUUACAGAGCCUUAAUUCCUCUUAAUUGCUCUGCUAUUCUGUACUCCCUCCUCCUCUAUAAAAUGAGGGCAUCGCACUGGGUAUUUGAGCAAGGUCAUUGGAUCAUGUAGCAGAGAGUUAAGAUCUUAUGCUUUAAGGUGAGAUCUGGAUGUGAACCAGGACUCUGUCACUUUCAAAGAAUGUGGCCUUGGCAAAUCGUUUAGCUUGACUGGGU